UACGUAGGGGGCUAGCGUUGUCCGGAAUCAUUGGGCGUAAAGGGUGCGUAGGCGGCGGGGCAAGUCGGAUGUGAAAUCUCAGGGCUCAACCCUGAAACUGCAUUCGAUACUGCCUUGCUCGAGGACUGGAGAGGAGAUUGGAAUUCACGGUGUAGCAGUGAAAUGCGUAGAUAUCGUGAGGAAGACCAGUGGCGAAGGCGGAUCUCUGGACAGUUCCUGACGCUGAGGCACGAAGGCCAGGGGAGCAAACGGG
rnacentral:rRNA from 1 species